rnacentral:rRNA from 1 species
GAUGAACGCUGACAGGAUGCUUAACACAUGCAAGUCUACUUGAAUUUGGGUUUUUAACUUAGGUUUGGGUGGCGGACGGGUGAGUAACGCGUAAAGAACUUGCCUCACAGCUAGGGACAACAUUUAGAAAUGAAUGCUAAUACCUAAUAUUAUGAUAAUAGGGCAUCCUAUAAUUAUGAAAGCUAUAUGCGCUGUGAGAGAGCUUUGCGUCCUAUUAGCUAGUUGGUAAGGUAAAGGCUUACCAAGGCGAUGAUAGGUAGCCGGCCUGAGAGGGUGGACGGCCACAAGGGGACUGAGAUACGGCCCUUACUCCUACGGGAGGCAGCAGUGGGGAAUAUUGGACAAUGGAGGAAACUCUGAUCCAGCAAUUCUGUGUGUGUGAAGAAGGUCUUCGGAUUGUAAAAACACUUUUAGUUGGGAAGAAACAAAUGACGGUACCAA